GUGGGAACAAGUACACUGAUAAGCGAGUUGGAGCAGGAGUGUGCAGGCAGUCAAGAAGGCAGGCAACUGUGCAGAAACAACUGCCAUUGUAUGAGUAGGAGUUACCUGUCUCUCAGUGAAAGAAACCCAAGCAAAGUUCUUUCUAGUAGCUUCUGGCCCAGCCGAAUAACAAUUAGGCUUAAAUGAGUGGCACCUGAAAUUCAGAGUGGCCGAUCUCUACUUCAAAAAGCAGCUCCAGGGAGUCCUUAGACCUCCAGAAAUUACAUGAAGCAUUCUGUUCAUACGUGCAUCUUUCUGAGAAGAAAUGACUUUUCCAGAAUCCUUAAGGGGUCUGUGAUCCCCUAAAGAUCAAGAAUCACUACUUACACGUGACUUUGUCCACUCAGGGGAAGAAAAGUACUUGGUGAUCUCAGCGAAAGAUGUCUUUAACUGCUAAGCUGCUUUUUCCAACUGGCAGAAGCCCUUGAGAAGAGUUUAUUAAGAAUGAAGGAAAAAAAUAAUCCCUGUGUAGUUUACACAACUGUUCCUAAAAUUCAUCCCCCACCCAUGCAUUAAGCAGUACCAUGUGCCGAGAGCCGUUCUCAGCCUGGGGGUACAGCCCUAAACAAGUGCCCACCGUCCCGGCCCUUUGGAAGCUGCAUUCCACGGGGACAUCUGCAGACCACAGGGAAUGAUGUACGCCUUGAACCGAACCAGUCAGAAGAAAAAGGAGGUGGUUGACUUUGAGUUGAGUUAUUUUCCAACCUCAAGC
rnacentral:lncRNA from 10 species